UCACUUGUAAUUACAUAUAGCUUUAUCUUAUCAUCUGUUAGAUAAUAUAUCAUCUCAUACUAUGUAUCCAAUAUCUAACACUUAUCAUUUGAUCUAAAAAUUGAUUAUUUGAGUGGUUCAUUUGAAUGUGCCAAUAUGGAAUUAAUCCAAAAUUUAUAAAGUGUUUACGAAUUUGUUAACACUAUAGUCUGAUAUAUAAUUUUAUUGUGAUCUACUUAACUCAGAUUUUCAUUAUCGUGUUUAUGAAUUUGUUAACACUAUAGUCUGAUAUAUUAUGCAAGUAAAAUAAUAUUACCACUUAUACAUAUGAUCAGUAAUAGCAUAAUCACUUAAGCGGGAAAUUUUAGAGUCUGCCGCCAAACAAAAAAAUUGUUUACCACCUAAAUGAAAUGGGGAAAAAAUUUAAGCUCCAAAAAGCAUUGGAUACUUCACCUAAACAGUUUAUUCUUCUCCUACUCUCGGUUCCCUUUUCCUUACGACUAUCUUCUCCGCUUAACACAAUUCGCUUUUUGCUUCUUCUUCUUGCAUUCUUAGCUUCAACUUAUUUUCUUUCUAGCUUUUGUGGGUAACUUGGGGUUUAUCUCGCCGUAGAUCUGGGUUGGGGCUCAUAACCGAUGGUGGCUGGAGCGAGGGUUUGCGGAGUUCCAGACGGCAUCAGAUCUACAGUUAUUCACCUUCCUUCUCAUCUCUCCGUCGCUAGUCACGGGUUCGGUUUUGCAAAAAAGUCGAGAUCUUCACCGAAAAAGAGAUAUAAUAAAGGGUUGUGGUCCUCGUGGAGUUAGCAGGUGGUUAUAUCACCAGUAUUUGCGAAUUGAGCAAUGAUAUCCUCUUCCUCAUGCGGCUGCAGUGCUAAAAGAGAAGUGUAAGAUUGACUUGUGUCUUAUGAGGAUCACUGGCUCAAGUAAAAUGGGAAUCAACUUAUCAAGAUGGAGUUAACUUAUGUAAGAAGAGGGAGAGUCAGCUGAUGCUGAUACAUCAAGCUGUUACUACGACUGGUUGCUGCUGCUGCGAGGAAUUCAUGUGGUCACUACGACCCAUGACAUAUCAGAAUCUAAAGAUCAGAGAUCUCUAAAGAAAACCGUACACAUUUCUUCUAUGAAGGAUGACGGUGGUGAGCAGUAUCUACGUUUGCCAACGGCGGUGGUGGUGGUGGUUACGGCAAAGACAUAUCACAAAAUGUUAUUUAUGUUUUAAGUUUAGUUAAUUUAUUUUAAUUUUAUUGUAUAACAAAAUAUUAUUUCAAACAAAAUUAAUUGUUUCGUUUUUCAUUUAUUUUUAAAAAUUUAUUAUUUAAUUA